GAUGUGCAGCUUCAGGAGUCAGGACCUGGCCUGGUGAAACCUUCUCAGACAGUGUUCCUCACCUGCACUGUCACUGGCAUUUCCAUCACCACUGGAAAUUACAGGUGGAGCUGGAUCCGGCAGUUUCCAGGAAACAAACUGGAGUGGAUAGGGUACAUAUACUACAGUGGUACCAUUACCUACAAUCCAUCUCUCACAAGUCGAACCACCAUCACUAGAGACACUCCCAAGAACCAGUUCUUCCUGGAAAUGAACUCUUUGACUGCUGAGGACACAGCCACAUACUACUGUGCACGAGA